GCGCCCGUAGCUCAACCGGAUAGAGCACCGGCCUUCUAAGCCGGGGGUUGUGGGUUCGAGUCCCGCCGGGCGCGCCA
rnacentral:tRNA from 1 species